UACGAAGGGGGCUAGCGUUGCUCGGAAUGACUGGGCGUAAAGGGCGCGUAGGCGGAUCGGAUAGUCAGGCGUGAAAUUCCUGGGCUCAACCUGGGGGCUGCGCAUGAGACGUCUGGUCUGGAGUGGGGAAGAGGGUCGUGGAAUUCCCAGUGUAGAGGUGAAAUUCGUAGAUAUUGGGAAGAACACCGGUGGCGAAGGCGGCGACCUGGUCCGAUACUGACGCUGAGGCGCGAAAGCGUGGGGAGCAAACAGG
rnacentral:rRNA from 1 species